rnacentral:rRNA from 1 species
GACGAACGCUGGCGGCGUGCUUAACACAUGCAAGUCGAACGGAAAGGCCCUGCUUUUGUGGGGUGCUCGAGUGGCGAACGGGUGAGUAACACGUGUGUAACCUGCCCUUGACUUUGGGAUAACUUCAGGAAACUGGGGCUAAUACCGGAUAGGAGCUCCUGCUGCAUGGUGGGGGUUGGAAAGUUUCGGCGGUUGGGGAUGGACUCGCGGCUUAUCAGCUUGUUGGUGGGGUAGUGGCUUACCAAGGCUUUGACGGGUAGCCGGCCUGUGAGGGUGAACGGCCAAAAUGGGACUAGGGAACGGCCCAGAAGCCUACGGGAGGCAGCAGUGGGGAAUAUUGCACAAUGGGCGGAAGCCUGAUGCAGCAACGCCGCGUGCGGGAUGACGGCCUUCGGGUUGUAAACCGCUUUCGCCUGUGACGAAGCGUGAGUGACGGUAAUGGGUAAAGAAGCACCGGCUAACUACGUG